rnacentral:rRNA from 1 species
GAACAUAAGAGUUUGAUCCUGGCUCAGAUUGAACGCUGGCGGCAUGCUUUACACAUGCAAGUCGGACGGCAGCACAGAGAAGCUUGCUUCUUGGGUGGCGAGUGG